CGUAUGGUUCUAUUUUGUUGGUUUCUAGGACCGUCGUAAUGAUUAAUAGGAACGGUCGGGGGCAUCAGUAUUGAGUAGCUAGAGGUGAAAUUCUUGGAUUUACUCAAGACUAACUAGUGCGAAAGCAUUUGCCAAGGACGUUUUCAUUAAUCAAGAACGAAAGUUAGGGGAUCGAAGACGCUUAGAUACCGUCGUAGUCUUAACCGUAAACUAUGCCGACUUGGGAUCGGACAGGUCAUUAUAUUUUGCUUGUUCGGCACCACGUGAGAAAUCAAAGUUUUUAGGUUCUGGGGGGAGUAUGGUCGCAAGGCUGAAACUUAAAGGAAUUGACGGAAGGGCACCACCAGGAGUGGAGCCUGCGGCUCAAUUUGACUCAACACGGGGAAACUC
rnacentral:rRNA from 1 species